GUCCUUGUAGCUUACUUUUAAAGCACUGUUUUUGUAAACCAGAGAUGGGCCACCACCCUUAGGACA
rnacentral:tRNA from 1 species